GUGAAUCAUCGAAUCUUUGAACGCACAUUGCGCCCGCCAGUAUUCUGGCGGGCAUGCCUGUCCGAGCGUCAUUUCGACCCUCAGGCCCCUUAGGGGGACUGGCGUUGGGGGACGGCACCGCUGUGGGAGAUCUCCUCCCGCCGCCGCCGCCCCCGAAAUGCAGUGGCGGCCUCGCCGCAGCGACCUCCGCGUAGUAGCACAAACCUCGCGGCCUGGGAGCUGGGCGCGGCCACGCCGUAAAACACCCCCCACGCGAAAACUCUUCGCACCAAGAGUUGACCUCGGAUCAGGUAGGAAUACCCGCUGAACUUAAGCAUAUCAAUAAGCGGAGGA
rnacentral:misc_RNA from 1 species